rnacentral:tRNA from 1 species
AUCUCUAUAGUUGAACACAACGGCAGCUUUUCACGCUGCAAGUUUGGGUUAGACCCCCAAUAGAGAUU